UAGUAUUUUGUGUGGACAACAGAGUUAGAACACUUGGGAGAGGAAGGCUGCAAAGGAGAUGUUUCAGAGAGAACCUCAGCAGGAAAGAGUAGUUCUCCGUCUUUCAAAUCCCUCUCUCAUCAUCUUGCUGCUGUCGAUGAAAGCUCAGCCUGAGGAGGCAGGUCCCCUAGGGGAGAGGACAUGAGGGUGUAAAUGACCUCAGACCCUUCCCUCAAAGAGGGAGCUGAAGAGGGUCCCCUGUAGGGAAUGCUGCCCCUGUGGGGGCCGCAGAGGGGUUGGGCCUGGGGCAUGGGAUCAGGGCCACCAUCUACCUGCUCUUUUCCCCAUGUGCAGCCUGUUACUUCUGGCCACAGAGAGGUCACUGCCUUGGCCAUUCCCAGAGGUCAGUGGAGCCACUGUGGGACCACUGUGGGCAGCCCGGGUGCAAGCUGGGGGCCUUGCACCUCCUUGGCAGGUUCUGGAGCAAUUAGGAACCUGACUGACAUUUUUUUUCUCAACACUAACUCACUUCCAUCCUGCUUUGCUCUUAUAAGCUGACAAGACUUCAACCCAAAGCAGGAGACUCACGAUGCUGUCAUAAAGUACAUGUGGAGAAGAGCUGAGAGGUAAAUGCAUUUCACUGGAAGUCAAUUUUGUCUGGAAGUUUCCCUGUGGUUGGAAGUUUCUUUGAAAACUCAGUGAUUAUUAAGAUGUCUGUGGUGGAAAGAGCUUGCUGCUGCCUUCCCGCUGCCAGGCCCCGUCUGCUCUGACACUCCUCCGCAGAGCAGCACAAAGGAGGGACAAGGGACACUGAAGGGUGCUGGGGCGCAAAGAGCUCUUGCCGAGGCCAGGCCCUACAAGGCUUGGGGGUGGGCCCAGCCACCUGUGCCAGAGGCCCUUGAGGGUUAUUCCCCACUUCACUGGGAACAUCCCAGACAAUUAUGUGGCUAAAGAAUACAUACAGGCACAGCUGACCUGUUCUCUAGGAGUGGUUCCAGAAUCUGUCUUGGAAGAAGCAGUGCUCUGCUCUGUGGCCUGAGAACCUUUUUAGGGAGCUCUUUGGUCAUGUAAAAGGCAAGGCCAGAGCCUAACUUGGGAGGAAGAGGGUGACGUAAGAGGUCCUGCAGCUGCUCCGCCCUAUGAUGGGGGGCUGUACCCUGGCCCAGGUCAGGGCAAGCGCUCUGGGUGAGCUGUUUUAUUUGGGCCAGUAGAGUUGAAGAAAGCAAGAUGUGGGACUUGGGGAGCAAGGGGAGAAACCCAGUGAACUGCCUUCUGAGAGUGGCCCCAGUGCCUUUUGGUAUGUGUGGGUGUGUGUGAGGCUCUGCCUGAAGAGGCAUCUGCCCUCCACCACGGAACUGUAUUGUCGACAGGCCUUAAAUGCUGUAGAUUCUGAUGUUCCACUUUGAGGCUUAUCUUUUCAGCACUGGCACAUCCUUAGACUGCACUGAGUUCUGAAAUUCUACAGUGUCAGCCUUGGUGUGCCUAAUGACAGAGAGAAUGCCCACAUGUUGGGGAAGUGGAGCAGGAGGCACAGGGAGGGGCCCCAGUGCUGAAGGUCAGCAGGAAGGAGUUCAGAGCAUCUGUGGACUGAGCGGUAAGGAGCAGCCCUGGGGGUACUCGGCUGCCAGCCUUUUCUGUGCUUCACGGCACUACAAAGAGCGAGGACCUGCUAAGAGUCAUGGUCUUGGUGUAGCCACGGAGGAGUUGGCUAAUUCUUCUUUAAACAGAAAAGGCUUUGGUGACCAGGAUGAUGGGAAAAUUAGGAAAGCUUGCAUUUACCUGUAUAUUCCUUCAUUUAGCACUUGAUGCAUUUAGAUAUCUGUUGAACCAUAUAUUGGGGUUCAGGCUCUGUCAAGGAUAUAGUGGAGAAAAAGAUAGGAUGUCUGUUCUGGAGAACCUUCCUCUGGCCAGGGCUAGUGGUGAUGCUGGUGAGGAUGAGGAUGGCUACUCUGUUACUGCUGGUAUAGCAGCCUUAGGUUAUUUGCAGCCUGUAAGUGUAGGAUAGCUCUGGCUAUUGCUCACCACAUCUGUUGGUGUCGCUGUGAUCGGACUCUUGUCCACAGAGUCAGCUGUGGGCUGUGGCAUCCUGAUGAGAAAGAGCAGGGGAAACUGCACUCACUUUUAUUCUGAGAACUCCACAGAGUUAAGAGCAAUGUACUUAUAGGCUAGAAUUGGCAUUUUUAAAGACAGUCUCAACUUUUCUGCCCAGACCAAGAGUUUGAGAACUUGAGCAUCUUUCUGUACACUCCUUUAAUCUUGUAGUCAAGGUGUCUGGCCUGCUGGACUGUGGGGUUCUGCGGUUCAGAAAUCUUCUCCGGAGAGCAGAACAUGAAUGUGUACACCCAGCAGGUCCCAAUCCACCAUUGCUGAAUUAAAAGAUAGAGAACCUACUUCAGAGAGAUUCCUCUCUCUCUACCAGGCAGCUUGAAAUGAGCAGCUGCUGGUGUUCAUGGCCUCCUGAGGAGGAUUUUAGGGCUGGCAGCCUUAGCCUUCCCUUUUUGUCUUAACCUGGGUUGCUAUAACAAAACACCAUGGACAAGGGAGGCUUAAACAACAGAAAUGUAUUCCUCAUAGUUCGGAAGGCUGGAAGUCUAAGGCAAGGUGCUGGCCAAUUCAGUUCCCAGUGAAGGCACUUUACGUUUGCAGACUGUACUCCUCUUGCUGUGCUGUUCCGUGGUGGAAAGAGGACGAGCUAGCUCGCUUGCGUGUCUUCUAAGGAGAUGUAUCCCAUCAAGUGAUCUGGAAUACCAUCACAUUGAAGAUGAAGGCUUUGGAGCUUCUACAUAGGGAUUUUGGCAGGACACAAGCAUGUGUUCCAUAGGUCUCUCUGUAGCCUCUUAUCCUUGCCUUUGGGCCUCUUUGACUCCCUCACCUGAAGACUCACAGGGCCCAGCCGCCCAUGUGCUGUGUUCUGCACUGGGGCUUUGCACUUCAGGAGGACUCUCUUCCUGCUCCCAAAGCUGUGGUCUUAGCCUGCUUGCUCCAGGGAGGAGAUAAUAUUUCCUGGAAAUGAAGUUCUCAGGUCCAGCCUAUACCUUUUGGAAAUUUUAUAUUUUGGUCACUUCGGUCCAAAUUCAGACUCUGCUGGUGUCCUUUUGACUCAGCUCCCUGGUGUCUGUCUCCAGGGUGAGUCCUGUGGCUGCUGCUGCUGAAACAGUGGGGUAGCAGUGAUAUUUCUGAUAAAAACAUGGCCUUGGGAAUGCUGAAGUAGACAGAGUUUUUUGUUCUCAGAGUUUUAUCCUAUCGAAAUGUCAGGGAUGUAAUAAUCCAGAUAGCAUGGGAGAGGUUAGGUUGAAUCUCAAGUUUUAUUUGAGUGUAUCUAUGGAAACAUGUGUGGCAUGUGCCAGUGUUGGGGGAAGAAAUGUGUGUGUGCACGUGUGUGUCUGUGUGUAGAUCCAUGCAUGCGGGGGUCUGUAUUAAAACAUACAAUGCAGUGUAGCUGGGAGAUGAGUGUUUUAAUAAAUCUUAAAAUAUUAAGCUGUAGCUUGUGCACUUGUAAUUGAGAAUAUUUUCUUAACUAUCUUAAUGAGAAAAUAAUUGAAGGAGGGCAAUAAAUCAUAGACUCAAAUCUGUUUUCCUUUGACCAGUACUUUGGCUCGCCCCCCAAAUCUGCUUCCUGGCUGUCCUGCCUCAUCCUCCUGGAUGCUGACAUUCCUGUGUUCCUGUUCCACCACCCUGAGUGCCAACAUUCAUGUGUGCAGAUCACAGACACAGCAGACUGAGCGGGCUGACUCUGGGGCCUCACUCAGGUCUAGGGGGUGGCAGCUGUGCCUUUGCUCUGCUGGGUUCUACAGUCAAACACCUGCUCUCUAUGACUUUUAAAUGUCCAGGGUAAAGAGGCUGGUGCGUUUUCAGGUGUGGCAUUUCUGUGAAUGAGCCAAAAGCAGUUGGGGAGCCACAAACAUGUGUAUAUUAUGGAGCAGUAUGUCACUGCCAGGCCUCGAAGGGUGAUGUUUUCUCACACCCCACAGUUUUAUGAUCCCAUAGCUUUAAAUAUUCAUUUCCGUUGCUCUACAUGAAGACGUAAAUUCAGAUUGUGCUUCCACAAUUCCUGGUGGGUGCCAAACCCCACAGUCCUAACAGCGGCUUCCUUCUUUGGGACAGCAGAGCCGCCUCGUCCCUUGACCACCUGACAAGAGUGACAGUAGCAGGCCCAAGGGCUGGCCUGCAGUCAGUGUCCCUGGUGUCCACCCUUACCUCAGCACAUUCUUCUCCUGUCUCUCUCUCUCCCUGGUGUCACACUUGGUUACUACAUUACGUGUGUAUGUGUCUACUCACCUCCCCCUCUGACCUGGAGCCUGCCACAGCUCCUGCAACUUUCUGGUGGUCAGUACUCAUUUGCUGAAGUAAUGAAUGACUCUCCUAUAUACGAGUUGCUGCUUCAUUGACUGUGUCUUUCACAAGUGCAUUAACCCUGGGCUGUAAAUAAAACAUGUUGCGAAAGACCAAGUAAUGAGGCCCCACUGUCAGGUGAGGUGACAGAGUUACUGGUUUACUCCUCUUCCAUCUUGCAGUCCAGAGCCCGCUUGUCUGUCUGAGGCGAGGCCUGCAGCUAGGGAGCAUAGCACCUCGUCUCCCCACAGCACCAGCCAGGCCAGGAGCAGCGGGAUCAAGCUUACAGAUCCUCCUCAGUGUGUGACCUGAGCUGGCAGUGAAUCUUUUGGCUGCAAGGAAUGGCUUUGCUGCUGACGCUGCUUGUACUUUAUAAUAGAGUGACAUAAGCUGAAUGCAGCUUUAACCUCCCUGGAGAGUCCCCCAGAUUCUUCAGCUUCUUGGUACUUGGACACAUGGUAGAACCGCUGAUAAAGUUGAAUCAUUUCUGACAUGUCCUCAAUCACUGUUGCGGGGAAAGGUCUCAUUUCUGGAGUGAUCAGGGAGUCUGGAUCUGCAGCAGGACCCACAACAUCCCACCGCAAACACUCAACUCAGUCGUCGUGUAUCUCCAUUUAAUUUUAUUAGAAUGACAUCCCUGCACAGUUCCUCUGAGGUCCAGUUAGGGAAGGUGGUCACCGAAUGAGAAAGGAGGCUCAGAUGUGGGGCCAUAGAAUGUUGGAAUGUAUUAUCGUAGGACCUAAUGUUAGAACACCUGUCCAUCCCAGAAUUCCAUAGGCAUUUAUACUCUCCUGUGUUUAUUGUAUUUCUCUAUAAGAACUGAUCACUGGAUAAAUUCUCCUCACCCCAGUGCUACUGCCAGGUUUAACU
rnacentral:lncRNA from 1 species